rnacentral:misc_RNA from 1 species
GAUGAAGAACGUAGCGAAAUGCGAUAAGUAAUGUGAAUUGCAGAAUUCAGUGAAUCAUCGAAUCUUUGAACGCACAUUGCGCCCCUUGGUAUUCCGAGGGGCAUGCCUGUUCGAGCGUCAUUAUAACCCCUCAAGCUCAGCUUGGUGUUGGGGCCUGCUGCACUGGCAGCCCUUAAAAUCAGUGGCGGCGCCAUCUGGCUCUAAGCGUAGUAAUUCUUCUCGCUAUGGAGUCCUGGUGGAUGCUUGCCAUCAACCCCCAAUUAUUCUAUGGUUGACCUCGGAUCAGGUAGGGAUACCCGCUGAACUUAAGCAUAUCAAUAAGCGGAGGA